GAGUUUCACAUCUGAAAGGGGUUGAAGAAGAUAAAUCCCAAGGGAGGUGGGGUGCAUCGUCGUCCCUAAAGCUUUUACAAGCAGCCCAAGCAAACAGUUGACUCCUUAUCUGACGAAGAUGGUCUCCACGAGCAAGAUCAAAUCCGUCGAUUUCUACAGGAAAAUCCCGAGGGAUUUGACUGAGGCGACUCUGUCUGGAGCUGGAUUGUCCAUUGUAGCAGCACUCUGUAUGCUCUUUUUAUUUGGAAUGGAGUUAAAUAAUUAUUUGGCUGUAAGCACUACAACGUCCGUCAUCGUUGACCGGAGCUCUGAUGGGA